CCCCGCGCCUCCACACCCUCCCCUCUAAAUGCUCGAUCGGCGGUGCUUCUCAGCCUUGCACCGCCGUCGCACCUUGUGCCGCCGCUGCACCGAACCUCCAUUGCACUGAACUUUCAUCGCCCCGUCACACCCCUUCCCGGCUCUUCUAUGUGUGUUGCCCGCGCGUUCCCUUUCGAACCCUUAUUUGCAUUUCUCUGCCACCGUCUUCGUCGCCAUCGUCUACCUUCGCGAUUUUAUAAAACUACAUCACUGAUCGCUCAUUCAGCGGCACUAACCAUAACCAAUGGCGUCCGCCGAGCAGCCAUUGAAGAAGCGAAAGCACGACACUCUCCCGGAAUCCUCACUACCACACCACCGCCGCUAGCACCGCCGCCACAAUCUUCUCAAACCCUAGCUCGCCCGCCUACUCCUCCUCCUCCACCUCUGUCACAGGAUGAGGUCGUCACCAAGCAGAGGAACAAAGAUGAGGUUCGAACCAUGUUUGAGAGCUACCGUCGCAUCAAGCUCUUCUUGUCAAAGAAGGAAGGUGAUUUCAUCCAUGACCUUGAACAGAGCUUCUUCGCUCUCGUCAAUGCUUGUAGAGGUCUGUGAACUGGAUUUAAUAUUCAACUUCCAUAAGGGAUCAAACAAUCUUAUUGCAAGCUUGCCAGGGGAUUUAGCAAAUUGUUCCAAAUUGUCCAAGCUAGAUAUGAAGGAAACAAGUUAACAGAGAUAUCUGAAAAUCUCUUUUCAUCAUGGACCAUGCUUACUGAAUUCAAUGCAUCAAAAAACUUGUUGAAUGGCAUACCAGACAGCAUUGGAGGUCUUUCACGUCUAAUUCGUCUUGAUCUCCACCAGAACAGUGUGCUCUUUGAACAAGGGGUCAAUGGUUUUCUGUUUCUCCUUUCUUCAUCUUGUCUUAAAGCUAGCGUGUCUGUGUUGUGCAGGAAUCUCAUCAAUCCCUUCAUCAAUCAUGGGUUGUCAUUCACUUGCCGAGAUUUAUUUGGGGUCAAAAUUCUAACCUAUUAAUAUGCAAGUCUUUAUAUUAUUAAAAGCAUGCUGAGAACUUGGUUUUCUUCUGGUCAAAACUUCUGUGUAUAAUAAUCUUAUAAUAAUAAUAAUAAUAAGAUGCUCUGCCGUGUUGUUGUUGUUAUUGUUGUUGUUGUUGUUGUUGUUGUUGUUGUUGUUGUUAUUUAACAUAUAAGAUGCUCUGCUGUGAUGUUCACAUUCAGUUGCUGGUACCCACUCUUCAUUACUUCCCUAGCUUGCUGUUUUGUUUGUCCUUAUUUUUUCAUUAAAGUUUGAUGGUUCCAUUCAAGAUGGAUUCUAGUGGCCCAUGGGGCUUUGCUAGAGCUAAUGAAGGGAACCCAAGAGUCAGAUCCAAGUUUAUUGCACCAUGUUAUUAUAUGAACAAGUAAGAGGAAGUUUUAGAAAAGGAUACAAGCCACCAAGUUGUACAGAGGAAGAAGACAUAAAUGUAGAUGAGUUCAAGGUCAUUCAGGGCCAAUUUAUGCAGCCUCUUGGAGAGUUUAUUCUUUCUUCCUCAGCAGACUCAACUAUGUGUGCAAUGGCAUGCCAACUGCAACUACAUUGCAACUGGUUCUGAAAACGCUGUCGCCGGUGGCUUCUCUGGAAAAUGAUUCUCUGAAAUCGGCAAUUUUCAGCAGGCCAACAGCUGCUACCUCCAAGGCCGCAGCUAAGAGAGCUGCCGUCGAUCUCACCGGUGCUUCUUCGCCUCUCAGCCACAGGCCUCUGAGCAGCAUUGCCGACCUCAAGGCCAUGGCGUCCGCAGGCGUCGACGAUCUCCGGCGCCAAAUUGAUCAUUCUCACUCCGAGAUCCUCAAGGAUCUUGAAGCUUCUCAUUCGCGUCUGCAUAAGCGCUUGAAGAUGCAGACUCAAGCAUGCCACCAAGUGAUGGAUGAAGCAGAAAAGGAGUACAAGAAGUUUUCCAAACGAAUCACUGAAAGCCGUGAGGCAAUGAAGGUUAUUUGAAGCUUGGCAUAGUAAAAUACCUCUACUUGUUGAAGCUGUAAAGUCCUUGCUAGAGGAGCCGAGUUUAGGUGUUCGGAAAGCACUUUCUGAGUUAAUUAUGGUUAUGGCUUCACAUUGUUACUUGGUUGGUUCAUCUGGAGAGUUGUUCAUUGAGUAUCUUGUACGGCACUGUGCUUUAACUGACAAUAAUCGCGGUGAUCUUGACAUCCUGAAUAAGAGAGUGGAGCUGUCUACAAGAGAUCAACAUUUCCUGUUUUCAAAGCACAUGGGUUGGCCCAAGCAUCAAUAGCUGAUUGUGUAUCAGAAACAUUUUCUACUAUUCAAACAGUAUGAUCUUUUAGUGGUGAAAAUCGGCAGAUGUUUACAUUUGCUAAACAGGUUCUGUCUUUCCAGUCAAGUGGGAUAAAGCUUGGUACUUUCAAAUCAUUUAAUGAAUCUAUGACCAGGGUUGCUAUUUAUAUCUCUUUGAUUUUAUUAUAUUGUCUUGGAGGGAACAAAGUUAAGGUGGUUCAAGGACUGGUUAAUACCUUUGGGGAUCUCCGAGGAGCUUUUACGGCCGUUGACAAGAUCAACUCUGUUUUAUCUCGAGUUUAAGUUGAUGAUUCUCUUGCCUAUGGCUUAGAAAGAGAACUAAGGCAACAGAAAGCAGUGGAUGAUGAGAAAUAUAAAUUGUUCUUCUCUAAUAGUUCAACUGAGAAAAACCAAAUGCAUUACAUGUCGGCACUAAAAACAUCUAGCAAUUUGUUUAGCUUGGCUUGGUUUGGCAAAUUUACACGCUAAGAGAUUUCUUAUUUCAUAAGAUUUAACUACAUGCUCUUUUAAUUAAAUAUUUAUUUGUGAUGAAUUAUAGUUGAUGUAUCAACACACUUUGAUGUAUGGUUGUUAUUUAAUAUUAUAGUUGAUGUAUUAAUAUACUUUGUUUA